UACAGAGGUCCCAAGCGUUGUUCGGAUUCAUUGGGCGUAAAGGGUGCGUAGGUGGCAUGGUAAGUCGGGUGUGAAAUCCCGGGGCUCAACCCCGGAACUGCACUCGAUACUGCCGUGCUGGAGUACUGGAGAGGAGACUGGAAUUUACGGUGUAGCAGUGAAAUGCGUAGAUAUCGUAAGGAAGACCGGUGGCGAAAGCUAGUCUCUGGACAGUCACUGACACUGAGGCACGAAGGCCAGGGGAGCAAACGGG
rnacentral:rRNA from 1 species